rnacentral:tRNA from 1 species
GGUCCCAUAGCUCAGUUGGUUAGAGCACCUGACUCAUAAUCAGGGAGUCACAGGUUCAAGCCCUGUUGGGACCA